rnacentral:lncRNA from 10 species
ACAGGCAGACUUUUAACACAUUCCUUACCUAAACUUUUAAAAGGGACAAAAGAUAUAUGCCUUUGGUUUGGGAGAUGACGAAACAUAUGCUUUAAUGACUAUUGGGUUGGAAUCUUCUUGAGAGAGGAUCCUUCUUAGCCUAGACUAGAGUCUUCAAAAGCCCACAGUGCUUCGUAAAGUUUCAUACGUGGAAGAGAGAAGGAUGUUCCACUGGAAAAGCAGAAUUGCAGCUGAGCUGUCCUGAAAUGCCCAGCACUCUGUGGAGACGCGGAGGAGGUUUCCUGGGACAAAGUGCUGAACCAGGGUGAAAAUGGACUGAUACAGUAGGUGACAUGUGUCCCUAUCUCUGAAAGGAGAGAUCUCAUCCGCUGUCCACUGGGGAAUGGCCUUGCCCUAUGGCCCCUACCAAACAAAAACGUAGCAGAACACAGCAAAACAGCAGAGUCGGAAUGUGAAGUGCUGAUAGAGUUCCCUAACGCUGACUGUCUGCUCUGCAUUUCUGGAGAUUGUAUGCCUGUCAUCCUGCAUUCCUUGGUAGGUACAGCCACAAGCUGUCUCCACCAUCAGAUGUGGCUUACCUGGUUCCUGAGUAUCUCUGGCUGCAUCUGCUUCUGCAGGGAGAAAGUAUCCCUGCUGUGAGAGGUCUGGGAUCUGGAGUACAGAGGGUGGUGAAGCCAAGGCCUGAAGACCUUUCCUGCAAGGUCGCAGAGGAAGAGGCAGAAGAAGGACCAGAACCCAGCUCCCCUGACUCCCUAUCCAGUGCUCUUCUCAUAGAUUACAUUGCUUCAGCAUCCACCUGGCUAUUGCUCCAUCCAGGGGUUACAGGAGUCACUGACUGUUUUGGUUGCUUCUUGGUUGGAGGAUGUUGUGCCUCACCGAUGAGAGGUUCCCAGAGCCCAAUCAAGAUCCUCACAUGUAGAAAGUAGUAGAUCAAUUAAAUAAAGCAAGCACAGCCAGAAUGGCUGGGAAUUUGAGAGCAUGUGCCCCAGAAUGAUUGUACCUCAGACCUGGAAGAAAAUGUGGAGUUGAUCUAAGUAAACCUGAUGUUUGAACGCCUCAUCUGCAUUCACAGCCUGAGGUAAUAUACAUAAACCACCUAAUCUAGUAACUGGCAGGUAUUAGUCAGUGAAUGGUGGCUGAUAUUUUUGUUUUUGUUGUCAUUUCUUCGGGAAUCAAAAUAGACAUAGAAGAAUUCGCAGAAAGAGCAACAGAUCUGCAGUUGGGGCUGUGGCUCUGCCUCUGAGACUC